rnacentral:rRNA from 1 species
UACGGGGGGAGCAAGCGUUGUUCGGAUUUACUGGGCGUAGAGGGCGCGUAGGCGGCCACCGCAAGUCAAUUGUGAAAUCUCCGGGCUUAACUCGGAAAGGUCAACUGAUACUGCGGGGCUAGAGUGCGGAAGGGGCAACUGGAAUUCUCGGUGUAGCGGUGAAAUGCGUAGAUAUCGAGAGGAACACCUGCGGCGAAGGCGGGUUGCUGGGCCGACACUGACGCUGAGGCGCGAAAGCCAGGGGAGCGAACGGG